rnacentral:rRNA from 1 species
AACGAACGCUGGCGGCAGGCUUAACACAUGCAAGUCGAGCGCCCCGCAAGGGGAGCGGCAGACGGGUGAGUAACACGUGGGAACCUUCCUAGAGGUACGGAACAACUCAGGGAAACUUGAGCUAAUACCGUAUACGCUCUUGCGAGGAAAGAUUUAUCGCCUUUAGACGGGCCCGCGUCGGAUUAGCUAGUUGGUGAGGUAACGGCUUACCAAGGCUACGACGGGUAGGGGGUGUGAGAGCAUGGCCCCCCACAAUGGCACUGAGACACGGGCCAUACAUCUACGGAUGGCAGCAACUGGGAAUCGUUGGCAAUGGGCGAAAGCCUGACCACGCGACGCCGCGUGAGGGAUGAAGGCCUUCGGGUCGUAAACCUCUUUUGCCAAGUUAUCGAAGCUUGGAGAAUAAGCACCUACUAACUACGUGCCAGCCGCCGCAGUAA